GUCUACGGCCAUACCACCCUGAACGCACCCGAUCUCGUCUGAUCUCGGAAGGUAAGCAGGGUCGGGCCUGGUUAGUACUUGGAUGGGAAACAUCUGACUUCAGCUCAGGUCAUGAUC
rnacentral:rRNA from 1 species